rnacentral:rRNA from 1 species
AACGAACGCUGGUGGUAUGCUUAACACAUGCAAGUCGAACGGGCAUAGCAAUAUGUCAGUGGCAAACGGGUGAGUAAUGUAUGGGAAUCUACCUAGCAGUAAGGAAUAACCCUGGGAAACCAGGGCUAAUGCCAUAUAUUACCGGUUAGCAAUAACCGGGAAAGAUUUAUCGCUGUUAGAUGAGCCUGUAUCAGAUUAGCUAGUUGGUGGGGUAAUAGCCUACCAAGGCAAUGAUCUGUAGCUGGUCUGAGAGGAUGAUCAGCCACACUGGAACUGCGACACGGUCCAGACUCCUACGGGAGGCAGCAGUGGGGAAUAUUGGACAAUGGGCGCAAGCCUGAUCCAGCAAUACCACGUGAGUGAUGAAGGCCUUCGGGUUGUAAAACUCUUUUAGUAGGGAAGAUAAUGACUGUACCUACAGAAAAAGCACCGGCUAACUUCGUGCCAGCAGCCGCCGUAA